rnacentral:rRNA from 1 species
UACGUAGGGUGCAAGCGUUGUCCGGAAUUAUUGGGCGUAAAGAGCUCGUAGGCGGUCUGUCGCGUCGGCUGUGAAAUCCCGAGGCUCAACCUCGGGUCUGCAGUCGAUACGGGCAAACUAGAGUAUUGCAGGGGAGACUGGAAUUCCUGGUGUAGCGGUGGAAUGCGCAGAUAUCAGGAGGAACACCGAUGGCGAAGGCAGUUCUCUGGGCCGUAACUGACGCUGAGGAGCGAAAGCGUGGGGAGCGAACAGG